CCUUCGAUAGCUCAGUCGGUAGAGCGGUGGAGUGUAGCGGUCCAUUGGUCGCUGGUUCAAAUCCGGCUCGAAGGU
rnacentral:tRNA from 1 species